rnacentral:rRNA from 1 species
GGACACUCUAUACGGAGUUACAAAGGACGACAUUAGACGAAUCAUCUGGAAAGAUGAAUCAAAGAAGGUAAUAAUCCUGUAGUCGAAAAUGUUGUCUCUCUUGAGUGGAUCCUGAGUACGACGGAACACGUGAAAUUCCGUCGGAAUCUGGGAGGACCAUCUCCUAAGGCUAAAUACUCUCUAGUGACCGAUAGUGAACCAGUACCGUGAGGGAAAGGUGAAAAGCACCCCGGAAGGGGAGUGAAAUAGAACCUGAAACCGUGUGCUUACAAGUAGUCAGAGCCCGUUAAUGGGUGAUGGCGUGCCUUUUGUAGAAUGAACCGGCGAGUUACGAUUUGAUGCAAGGUUAAGCAGUAAAUGUGGAGCCGUAGCGAAAGCGAGUCUGAAUAGGGCGUUUAGUAUUUGGUCGUAGACCCGAAACCAGGUGAUCUACCCUUGGUCAGGUUGAAGUUCAGGUAACACUGAAUGGAGGACCGAACCGACUUACGUUGAAAAGUGAGCGGAUGAACUGAGGGUAGCGGAGAAAUUCCAAUCGAACCUGGAGAUAGCUGGUUCUCUCCGAAAUAGCUUUAGGGCUAGCCUCAAGUGAUGAUUAUUGGAGGUAGAGCACUGUUUGGACGAGGGGCCCCUCUCGGGUUACCGAAUUCAGACAAACUCCGAAUGCCAAUUAAUUUAACUUGGGAGUCAGAACAUGGGUGAUAAGGUCCGUGUUCGAAAGGGAAACAGCCCAGACCACCAGCUAAGGUCCCAAAAUAUAUGUUAAGUGGAAAAGGAUGUGGCGUUGCCCAGACAACUAGGAUGUUGGCUUAGAAGCAGCCAUCAUUUAAAGAGUGCGUAAUAGCUCACUAGUCGAGUGACACUGCGCCGAAAAUGUACCGGGGCUAAACAUAUUACCGAAGCUGUGGAUUGUCCUUUGGACAAUGGUAGGAGAGCGUUCUAAGGGCGUUGAAGCAUGAUCGUAAGGACAUGUGGAGCGCUUAGAAGUGAGAAUGCCGGUGUGAGUAGCGAAAGACGGGUGAGAAUCCCGUCCACCGAUUGACUAAGGUUUCCAGAGGAAGGCUCGUCCGCUCUGGGUUAGUCGGGUCCUAAGCUGAGGCCGACAGGCGUAGGCGAUGGAUAACAGGUUGAUAUUCCUGUACCACCUAUAAUCGUUUUAAUCGA